UAGAGUUUGAUCAUGGCUCAGAUUGAACGCUGGCGGUAUGCCUUACACAUGCAAGUCGAACGGUAGAGGGGCAACCCUUGAGAGUGGCGAACGGGUGAGUAAUACAUCGGAACGUGCCCAGUCGUGGGGGAUAACGUAGCGAAAGCUACGCUAAUACCGCAUACGACCUGAGGGUGAAAGCGGGGGAUCGCAAGACCUCGCGCGAUUGGAGCGGCCGAUGGCAGAUUAGGUAGUUGGUGGGGUAAAGGCCUACCAAGCCUGCGAUCUGUAGCUGGUCUGAGAGGACGACCAGCCACACUGGGACUGAGACACGGCCCAGACUCCUACGGGAGGCAGCAGUGGGGAAUUUUGGACAAUGGGCGAAAGCCUGAUCCAGCCAUACCGCGUGCGGGAAGAAGGCCUUCGGGUUGUAAACCGCUUUUGUCAGGGAAGAAAUCUUCUGGGCUAAUACCUCGGGAGGAUAACGGUACCUGAAGAAUAAGCACCGGCUAACUACGUGCCAGCAGCCGCGGUAAU
rnacentral:rRNA from 1 species